rnacentral:rRNA from 1 species
UCACUUUUCAACGGCCGCGGUAUCCUAACCGUGCAAAGGUAGCAUAAUCACUUGUCCCUUAAAUGAGGACUUGUAUGAACGGUUAAAUGAGGGCCUAACUGUCUCCUGCAGCCAAUCAAUGAAAUUGAUCUUACAGUACAAACGCUGUAAUAUAUUUAUAAGACGAGAAGACCCUGUGGAGCUUUAAACUCCUACACUAACUUAUACCCAUUUUACCAUUAUUAGUAUAGUGUAAAUUUUUAAGUUGGGGCGACUAUGGAGUAAAAAAAACCCUCCAUGCAACACGACUAACCUUCGUUUUAACCAGGCUAACAAGCCUAACCGAAUUACACGACCCAGUUCAAACUGAGUAUCGAACCAAGUUACCCCAGGGAUAACAGCGCCAUCCCCUUAAAGAGUCCACAUCGCCAGGGGGGUUUACGACCUCGAUGUUGGAUCAGGACCCCCAAGUGGUGAAGCCGCUACUAAAGGUUCGUUUGUUCA